GACGAACGCUGGCGGCGUGCUUAACACAUGCAAGUCGAACGGAACGGUCCUGCUUUUGUGGGGUGCUCGAGUUGCGAACGGGUGAGUUACACGUGAGUUACCUGCCAUUGACUUUGGGAUAACUUAAGGAAACUGGGUCUAAUACCGGCUAGGAGCUCCCGCUGUAUGGUGGGGGCGGGAUGGUUUCGGCGGUUGGGGAUGGACUCGCGGCUCAUCAGGUUGUUGGUGGGGUAGUGGCUUACCAAGGCUUUGACGCGUAGCAGGCCUGAGAGGGUGACCGGCCAAACUGGGACUGAGAUGCGGCACGGACUCCUACGGUAGGCAGCAGUGCAGUAGAUUGUACUAUGGGCGGAAGCCUGGUGCAGCAACGCCGCGUGCGGUAUGACGGCCUUCGGUUUGUGUUCCGCAGCCGCCUGUGACGAGGCGUGAGUGACGGUAAUGGGUAAAUAAGCACCGGCUAACUACGUG
rnacentral:rRNA from 1 species